rnacentral:rRNA from 1 species
CAGCCGCCGCGGGAACACGGAGGAUCCAAGCGUUAUCCGGAUUUAUUGGGUUUAAAGGGUGCGUAGGUGGCCUGUUAAGUCAGGGGUGAAAGACGGUAGCUCAACUAUCGCAGUGCCCUUGAUACUGACGGGCUUGAAUGAACUAGAGGUAGGCGGAAUGUGACAAGUAGCGGAGAAAUGCAUAGAUAUGUCACAGAACACCAAUUGCGAAGGCAGCUUACUAUGGUUUUAUUGACACUGAGGCACGAAAGCGUGGGGAUCAAACAGGAUUAGAUACCCGUGUAGUCCCUGUCUCUUAUAC